CGGCAAACGGGUGCGGAACACGUACAGAACCUUCCUUUAAGCGGGGGAUAGCCCGGAGAAAUCCGGAUUAAUACCCCAUGGUAUUAUCAGGUGGCAUCAUUUGAUAAUUAAAGAUUUAUCACUUAGAGAUGGCUGUGCGGCUGAUUAGGUAGUUGGUGUGGGUAACGGCCCACCAAGCCAUCGAUCAGUAACUGGUGUGAGAGCACGACCAGUCACACGGGCACUGAGACACGGGCCCGACUCCUACGGGAGGCAGCAGUAAGGAAUAUUGGUCAAUGGACGAAAGUCUGAACCAGCCAUGCCGCGUGAAGGAUGAAGGCCCUCUGGGUUGUAAACUUCUUUUAUGUGGGAAGAAAUGUAUUCUUUACAGAGUACUUGACGGUACCAUAGGAAUAAGCACCGGCUAACUCCGUGCCAGCAGCCGCGGUAAUACGGAGGGUGCAAGCGUUAUCCGGAUUCACUGGGUUUAAAGGGUGCGUAGGUGGGAAUGUAAGUCAGUGGUGAAAUCUCCGUGCUUAACACGGAAACUGCCAUUGAUACUAUGUUUCUUGAAUUUUCUGGAGGUCAGCGGAAUAUGUCAUGUAGCGGUGAAAUGCUUAGAUAUGACAUAGAACACCAAUUGCGAAGGCAGCUGGCUACAGGGAUAUUGACACUGAGGCACGAAAGCGUGGGGAUCAAACAGGAUUAGAUACCCUGGUAGUCCACGCCCUAAACGAUGGAUACUCGACAUUUGUGAUAGACAAUAAGUGUC
rnacentral:rRNA from 1 species